UGGGGGAUAUUGCACAAUGGAGGAAACUCUGAUGCAGCAACGCCGCGUGAAGGAUGAAGGUCUUCGGAUUGUAAACUUUUGUACUUGGGGACGAUAAUGACGGUACCCAAGCAGCAAGCUCCGGCUAACUACGUGCCAGCAGCCGCGGUAAUACGUAGGGAGCAAGCGUUGUCCGGAUUUACUGGGUGUAAAGGGUGCGUAGGCGGCUAUGCAAGUCAGUUGUGAAAACUAUGGGCUCAACCCAUAGCCUGCAAUUGAAACUGCGUGGCUUGAGUGAAGUAGAGGUAGGUGGAAUUCCCGGUGUAGCGGUGAAAUGCGUAGAGAUCGGGAGGAACACCAGUGGCGAAGGCGACCUACUGGGCUUUAACUGACGCUGAGGCACGAAAGCAUGGGUAGCAAACAGGAUUAGAUACCCUGGUAGUCCAUGCCGUAAACGAUGAUUACUAGGUGU
rnacentral:rRNA from 1 species